rnacentral:rRNA from 1 species
UACUAGAGUAGCACUCGCAUAUCAAUAAGCGGAGGAAAAGAAACUAACAAGGAUUCCCCUAGUAACGGCGAGUGAAGCGGGAAGAGCUCAAAUUUGAAAUCUUAAAGGGUUUCCCUUUACGAAUUGUAGUUUAAAGAAGUGUUUUCUGUUGAGGUUUUGGUAAAAGUUCUUUGGAAUAGGACAUCAUAGAGGGUGAGAAUCCCGUAUUUGACCUUUACUUUCAACUUUGUGAUACACUUUCAAAGAGUCGGAUUGUUUGGGAAUGCAGUCCAAAAUGGGUGGUAAAUUUCAUCUAAAGCUAAAUAUUGGUGAGAGACCGAUAGCGAACAAGUACCGUGAGGGAAAGAUGAAAAGAACUUUGAAAAGAGAGUUAAACAGUACGUGAAAUUGUCAAAAGGGAAGCGUUUGACACCAGUGUUGUUUUUCUGAAAAUCAAUUAAAGAACUGUUUAUGCUAAGCUGUUUAGACUUUAUCAGCUAUCUGUUUAGUUUUGAGCUUUUCUUUAAUGCACUUUUCAGUUAACAAGUCAACAUCAAUUUCUUUUGCUGUAAAAAAGCUUGAGGAAGGUGGCUUGAGAUUCGUCUUAAGUGUUUAUAGCCUCUUGCCUAUGCAGUCGGAGAGAUUGAGGUCUGCAGCGUAGAUCCUUCGGGGCUAAAUGCAUUUGUGCUAAGUUAUAGCAUUUUAUAGACAACUUGUUGACUAUGAUUUGUCUUGUAGCUUACUCGCUUAUGUUAUUUUACCUACGCUUAGGAUGUUGAUCUCUCACAGUCGAGC